rnacentral:rRNA from 1 species
CCUACGGGAGGCUGCAGUGGGGAAUAUUGCACAAUGGGGGAAACCCUGAUGCAGCGACGCCGCGUGAGUGAAGAAGUACUUCGUUAUGUAAAGCUCUAUCAGCAGGGAAGAAAAUGACGGUACCUGAGUAAGAAGCCCCGGCUAACUACGUGCCAGCAGCCGCGGUAAUACGUAGGUGGCAAGCGUUAUCCGGAUUUACUGGGUGUAAAGGGAGCGUAGACGGCAGUGCAAGUCUGGAGUGAAAGGCUGGGGCUCAACCCCCGGACUGCUCUGGAAACUGUACGGCUGGAGUGCAGGAGAGGUAAGUGGAAUUCCUAGUGUAGCGGUGAAAUGCGUAGAGAUUAGGAGGAACACCAGUGGCGAAGGCGAUUUACUGGACUGUAACUGACGUUGAGGCUCGAAAGCGUGGGGAGCAAACAGGAUUAGAUACCCCUGUAGUC